UUGUUGGUGAUCCCUGUAUACUUGAGGUCUUCUGAAGAUGCUUCUUUUCCCAGUGCUGUAUUAUGCAGUGACCUGACUGAAAAACAAGCAGCCCAUCUGUACAUCUUCAUCCUUCCAUGAGCGUGCUUGUAGGAGAGAGACUGCAAGUGAGAGAAGAAAGAAAGCUUAAAAGCAGGCAACCUUUUUCAAAUUUGGACAAACACCAUCAGCUGACAGCAUUGUUCCCUGAUUGGCAGCACCUCCUCAAACCCUUCCCAACGUUUUCUGGAGCUCUGGCACAGCUCUCCUGAACACUGGGGACCUGGAUCACUGUGAGGAGCAAGGCUGGGGUAAUGCUGGGCUGAAGGAGGGAGCUCCUGGUAGACCACCCCAAUGGGAAGAUGCUGACUUUCCUAUACUCACAACAGAAAUAGCCAUUUCUAGAGUUUUAAUCUGUUUUUAUUCUCUUCCAUGCAAUGAGAUUAGUUUUUUCCAUGUUUCUGGAGGAAAAAAAAAAAAAAGCCCUCACAUUUUUAAUGGAAACAUGAUAGGGAGGGAAGAGAAGUGAGCCCCACUCGCUUUUGGUGGAGCACCUUAAGCGUCAGCUUUCUUUCAUGACCCAACUCAUCAUGCUAAAGGUGGGCACCCAAACAAACUUCAGGAGUGGCUUAGUAUACCCUGAUUAUUUUUCACCAUUUCGUGUGAACGCACUGAGAUAUACGCACUGCAAGCAAGAGCAGAUAAAACAAGAGAAAGCAGGAAGCUAAACCCCUACAUUUCUUCCAUCCUGAUUGAUUUGCAGUUGAAGAGUGGGAUAUCUUGACUUGUGACUGUGAUUUUGUAUUAGUCAUGAGCAGUUAUAACCUAAAACCUAAAAGAGUGGUCAAGUGCUUGAACAGGUUGUCUAGAGAGGUGGUGGGAACCCUGUCCUUGGAAACACUCAAGGUCAUGCUGGACAGGGCUCUGAGCACCUGACUGAUCUACAGGAUCAGAUGACCUUUAAGGGUUCCUUUCAGGAUCAGAGAGUCCCUUUCAACAAAUGAUUCUACAUUUCUAUGAGAAUGACUGUCUUUCUCCUUCCAAAAAUAAAACACAAGUUGUCU
ensembl:lncRNA